UACAGAGGGUGCGAGCGUUAAUCGGAAUUACUGGGCGUAAAGGGCGCGUAGGCGGUUAUUUAAGUUAGAUGUGAAAUCCCUGGGCUUAACCUAGGAACUGCAUCUGAAACUGGAUAGCUAGAGUGCGGUAGAGGGUAGUGGAAUUUCCGGUGUAGCGGUGAAAUGCGUAGAUAUCGGAAGGAACACCAGUGGCGAAGGCGGCUACCUGGACUGACACUGACGCUGAGGCGCGAGAGCGUGGGGAGCAAACAGG
rnacentral:rRNA from 1 species